ensembl:lncRNA
AAUGUUAAUUAACAGGAAAAGGGCCAGCAGACUGAUGGCAGAAUGAAGUGAAGGAUAAACCCAAGGUUUGGGACAAGACACUAUAUCAGAUUAUUUGAAAAGUCAAUACAAGGAAGCACUGAAAGAAGUGAGAGGGCCCAAAGGCAACAAUACCCAGUAGCAACAAGCAAACCCAGAACGUGCGCCGUGAGCAUGCAGUGAGAAGGCAGCCAUCUGCAAACCAAGGAGAGAGGUCUCAUUAGGAACCAACCCUACUGAUCUUAGACUUCCAGCCAUCAGGAUGGUGAGAAAAUGAAUUUCUAUUUUUUAAGCUGCCAGUCACUGUUAUGGCAGUGCUAGUAAACUAAUACAAGUCCAUACCAAUAUAAAUGAUUGAGCAAAUAAAUAAGUGGAAAGAAGAGACAAAUACCUAUACAUUAGAAACUUUAAAAAAAAUGUAUGUGGACACUGUCCCCUUGAGGAGGUAGAACAUAGCUCUCUACACUGGGUUCGAUGACUUUCUUCCAAAGGCAUCGUAUGGAAAGGGCGUAACAGUACAGAAGACUGACGUCAUCAGUGGUAAGGGAAGCUGAUAACGUACCCUUAAUAUGAUCUGGUAAGAAGGACACUUGUCUUCCUCCUCCAAACUAAAAUUCCUGUCAAGUCAAAAGAAAAACAUCAGACAAACCCAAAUUGAGGGACAGUUUACAAAAUACCUGCCCAGAUUUCUCCUAAGUGUCAAGGUGACCCAAAUGAAGGAAAGUCUAAAACUGUCACAGUUUAAUGGAUCCUAAGCAGAUUUGAUGACUAAAUGUGAUGUGGCCCUCUGGAUGGAAUCUUGUAGCAGACAAAGGACUAGGUAAAAACUGAAGACAUCUGAAUAAGACCCUGUCAGCUGCACAGUUCCAACAGCAGUCAAAGUGGAUCUACAGCUCCAAACCCCAUUCCUUCUGGAUUUUCGUGCUGGCCGCCAACCAAGAACUGGCUCCAGCUGUACUGGCCCCUAAUUUCUUUAACUCUUUCCUCUUCUUUAUUCUGGUGUUGAGAGAGCAAAGGAGAUUCAUUUGCAAGUAUUUAUUGAGCACCAGUCACUGAGGACAGCAGUAAAUAAGGCAGGUGAGGUCCCUGCCCAUAGAAGCCACAUUCUGAAAGAUGGAUAGCAUCAUGGCACACUUAUUACUGCUAGAAGAGUUACUUGAAUGAAUGUUUUCAUUAGUCCUGAUGAUGGAGAUGCUAAUUGUUAUUCUCAUUUAUGAGACAUAGACGCCAAAUGACUUACCCAACAUCAGGCAGCUAGUUAGUGAUGGAGAUACAAUUAUUUUCUUUUACUGAUUUUAUUUAUUUAUUUAUUUUUGGCUGUGCUGGGUCUUCGCUGCUGCACGAGGUUUUCUCUAGCUGCAGUGAGGGGGGGCUUCUCAUCGCAGUGGCUUCUCCUGCUGUGCAGCAUGGGCUCUAGGGUGCGUAGGCUUCAGUAGUUGUGGCUCCCGGACUCUAGCGCACAGGCUCAGUUGCCCUUGGGCAUGUAAGAUCCUCCAGGACCAAGGAUCGAAUCUGUGUCUCCUGCUCUGGCAGGCAGACUCUCCACCACUGAGCCACCAGGGUAGUCCCUGGAGAUACAACUUAAAUCAAAGGUCUCAGAUUCCAGAACACUUGGAUUCCUAACCAUGAUAAUAUCCAUAAAAUUGUUCUUUUGCGUAGAUACUGUCUGAUUGCUGUCUUGCUCUUUCCACUCUUAAAAGUAUGCUGCUUCUAAAAAAAUAUCUGUAAUGUCUAAUGACAAUUAUAAAAAUAAAAAGUGGCUUUUUUUUUUUUUAAGAAAAUGGUGCCAUUCGCAUUCAAUAGUUGCUUUUGUAGCAUGCGCUACCUCUCUUUCCUAUUUCUAUAGUGAACCUCCCC